rnacentral:misc_RNA from 1 species
CAGCAAGCACUCGGUGUCAAUGG